rnacentral:miRNA from 1 species
AAAUCCUUGGAACCUAGGUGUGAGUG